ACCCACUUCAAUACAGUCAGAAUAAGCAAAUUUAUAUGCCCUCCGUACGUACUCAUCGACGUCUAAGCCAUUCCCAUUGAAGACCAUCCUGCAAAUAAAUAGCAUAUUGAUUGCCAGGGAGAUUGCUGACACACCAAAGAAGAACCCUGAAGGUGAGUAUCUUUCAGAUGCCCUAACACCUGCUGUGACAUACACAGCACAAAGUUCAUAUGCACAAAGCAAACCGACAGCUAGUAGGAGGAGAACAGCUACAGCCCUUGAACUUUGCCACUGUGUUCUCCACCAAAGCAUUAUUGAGUAGAAUGCCAAAAGAAGAGCACUUCCAGCCAUUAUUACAGCUAGACCAACUAUAUCUCGUCCCAAUAUCAACAUUAACCAACCUCCCCAUGUAACAAGAACCACCACUGGAGAGAUCACAGUUAUCCAGGCAAACAGAGAGAGAAAACUACAUAUAAUUCCCAGCUGGGGCCCUUGUAAGAAUCCCG
rnacentral:misc_RNA from 1 species